rnacentral:rRNA from 1 species
AGAGUUUGAUCCUGGCUCAGAUUGAACGCUGGCGGCAUGCCUUACACAUGCAAGUCGAACGGUAACGGGCCUUCGGGUGCCGACGAGUGGCGAACGGGUGAGUAAUGCAUCGGAACGUACCUUCAGCGGGGAUAACGUAGCGAAAGUUACGCUAAUACCGCAUAUUCUGUGAGCAGGAAAGCAGGGGAUCGCAAGACCUUGCGCUGAUUGAGCGGCCGAUGUCAGAUUAGCUAGUUGGUGAGGUAAAGGCUCACCAAGGCGACGAUCUGUAGCGGGUCUGAGAGGAUGAUCCGCCACACUGGAACUGAGACACGGUCCAGACUCCUACGGGAGGCAGCAGUGGGGAAUUUUGGACAAUGGGGGCAACCCUGAUCCAGCCAUGCCGCGUGAGUGAAGAAGGCCUUCGGGUUGUAAAGCUCUUUCGGCCGGGAAGAAAUCGCAUGGGUUAAUACCCUGUGCGGAUGACGGUACCGGCAUAAGAAGCACCGGCUAACUACGUG